rnacentral:rRNA from 1 species
CCUACGGGUGGCAGCAGUGGGGAAUAUUGCACAAUGGGGGGAACCCUGAUGCAGCGACGCCGCGUGAGUGAAGAAGUAUUUCGGUAUGUAAAGCCCUAUCAGCAGGGAAGAAAAUGACGGUAUCUAACUAAGAAGCCCCGGCUAACUCCGUGCCAGCAGCCGCGGUAAUACGUAGGGUGCAAGCGUUAUCCGGAUUUACUGGGUGUAAAGGGUGCGUAGACGGGAGAGUAAGUCAGAAGUGAAAGCCCGUGGCGUAACUGCGGGACUGCUUUUGAAACUGUCCGGCUAGAGUGCGGGAGAGGUAAGCGGAAUUCCUAGUGUAGCGGUAAAAUGCGUAGAUAUUAAGAGGAAUACCAGUGGCGAAGGCGACUUACUGGACAGUAACUGACGUUGAGGCUCGAAAGCGUGGGGAGCAAACAGGAUUAGAUACCCUGGUAGUC